rnacentral:rRNA from 1 species
GUGUCAGCCGCCGCGGUAAUACGUAGGGGGCAAGCGUUGUCCGGAUUUAUUGGGCGUAAAGAGCGUGUAGGCGGCUAGAUAGGUCCGUUGUGAAAACUCGAGGCUCAACCUCGAGACGUCGAUGGAAACCAUCUGGCUAGAGUCCGGAAGAGGAGAGUGGAAUUCCUGGUGUAGCGGUGAAAUGCGCAGAUAUCAGGAAGAACACCCGUGGCGAAGGCGGCUCUCUGGGACGUGACUGACGCUGAGACGCGAAAGCGUGGGGAGCGAACAGGAUUAGAAACCCUCGUAGUCC